UGGGGAAUAUUGCACAAUGGGGGGAACCCUGAUGCAGCGACGCCGCGUGAGCGAAGAAGGUUUUCGGAUUGUAAAGCUCUGUCUUAGGGGACGAAAGAUGACGGUACCCUGAGAGGAAGUCACGGCUAACUACGUGCCAGCAGCCGCGGUAAAACGUAGGUGGCAAGCGUUGUCCGGAAUUACUGGGUGUAAAGGGAGCGCAGGUGGGUGUGCAAGUUGGGAGUGAAACUCAUGGGCUCAACCCAUGACCUGCUUUCAAAACUGUGCAUCUUGAGUGGAGUAAGAGGCAGGCGGAAUUCCCGGUGUAGCGGUGGAAUGCGUAGAUAUCGGGGAGGAACACCAGUGGCGAAGGCGGCCUGCUGGGCUCUAACUGACACUGAGGCUCGAAAGCGUGGGUAGCAAACAGGAUUAGAUACCC
rnacentral:rRNA from 1 species